GAUGAACGCUGGCGGCGUGCCUAAUACAUGCAAGUCGAGCGAAUGGAUUAAGAGCUUGCUCUUAUGAAGUUAGCGGCGGACGGGUGAGUAACACGUGGGUAACCUGACCAUAAGACUGGGAUAACUCCGGGAAACCGGGGCUAAUUCCGGAUAACAUUUUGAACCGCAUGGCUGGAAAUCGAAAGGCGGAUACGGCCGUCACUUAUGGAUGGACCCGCGUCGCAUUAGCAAGUUGGUGAGGUAACGGCUCACCAAGGCAACGAUGCGUAGCCGACCUGAGAGGGUGAUCGGCCACACUGGGACUGAGACACGGCCCAGACUCCUACGGGAGGCAGCAGUAGGGAAUCUUCCGCAAUGGACGAAAGUCUGACGGAGCAACGCCGCGUGAGUGAUGAAGGCUUUCGGGUCGUAAAACUCUGUUGUUAGGGAAGAACAAGUGCUAGUUGAAUAAGCUGGCACCUUGACGGUACCUAACCAGAAAGCCACGGCUAACUACGUGCCAGCAGCCGCAGUAA
rnacentral:rRNA from 1 species